UACGUAGGGUGCGAGCGUUAAUCGGAAUUACUGGGCGUAAAGCGCACGUAGGCGGCUUUGUAAGUUAGAGGUGAAAGCCCGGGGCUCAACCCCGGAAUUGCCUUUAAGACUGCAUCGCUUGAAUUGUGGAGAGGUAAGUGGAAUUCCGAGUGUAGAGGUGAAAUUCGUAGAUAUUCGGAAGAACACCAGUGGCGAAGGCGACUUACUGGACACAUAUUGACGCUGAGGUGCGAAAGCGUGGGGAGCAAACAGG
rnacentral:rRNA from 1 species